GACGAACGCUGGCGGCGUGCUUAACACAUGCAAGUCGAACGGAAAGGCCCUGCUUGCAGGGUACUCGAGUGGCGAACGGGUGAGUAACACUUGGGUGAUCUGCCCUGCACUUCGGGAUAAGCCUGGGAAACUGGGUCUAAUACCGGAUAGGAGCGUCCACCGCAUGGUGGGUGUUGGAAAGAUUUAUCGGUUUUGGAUGGACUCGCGGCCUAUCAGCUUGUUGGUGAGGUAAUGGCUCACCAAGGCGACGACGGGUAGCCGGCCUGAGAGGGUGACCGGCCACACUGGGACUGAGACACGGCCCAGACUCCUACGGGAGGCAGCAGUGGGGAAUAUUGCACAAUGGGCGCAAGCCUGAUGCAGCGACGCCGCGUGAGGGAUGACGGCCUUCGGGUUGUAAACCUCUUUCAGUAGGGAAGAAGCGAAAGUGACGGUACCUGCAGAAGAAGCACCGGCUAACUACGUG
rnacentral:rRNA from 1 species